rnacentral:lncRNA from 1 species
AGACCUAUGAAGGUCGAAGGGGAAGAAAAGCUGUAUCGAUUGUUGAGAUCUGGCGACUUGUUUAAAUUUCAUCAGCCUCACUUCUAUGAACUCUCAGAGCUGAUUACCAACUCCUACCACUGUUAACCCUCAUCCAGGAACAAGCUUAUGUCUUUAACAUUCUGAGUGGGCUUCAGCAUCCUUGCAUAUGUUCAAUUCUUAAAAACCUGUUGAAAUAAAAGAUCAGGAGACAUAGGAAGGAUGCCAGAAGAGAGCGUGGCCUCACGUGUACCAGCUCUCUGCUCUCCUUUGCCUUGGGACGUUCCAUCCCUGGAAGUUUCCCUGCCCACAUCUUUGUAGAGAGUCCAUUCUCCAAGCUUCAGUGUGUCAUCUGUGAGGACCGUGACCCACCUGGUACAUCGCCUCAGGGCAUUCAUUUCAGGCUCCUUCUAAAUGGCCAAGGAUCUUGGAAGCAGAGGGAUCUGCAGAAGUGCUUGCAACACUUUCAGCCUUAACCAGCAUCAGAGACAAAAAUCCUUUCUGGAAUGAGCCUCUCAGGAACCUCUAGUGUUUGUGAAGUUCCUCAGGAAAUCUGAGGACAAGUGAGUUUGGAAAUGACACUGAGGGAUGGGGAAACAGGACUGCUGAUGAAGCUGACCAUCCUCAAGAUCUUGCUUUCUUUUGUAUGUUUGCAAAGAAUAUAUAGUACACUUCCUUGAUCUGUGGUUCCUAAAGUGUGAUUCCCAACAAGCAGCAUCAGGAUCAUCUGGAAACUUGAUAGAAAUGCACCCUUGGAAAUGCAAUGCUACAUCUCAAUGGGAUUUUCCAGUACAAAGAUUCUUUUCAAAUAACAUAAUUGUGGAUACACACCACUCCUACAGUGGCAAAUAACAAAGAAAAAUGAUUCAAUAUUUUCACCAAUAUAGAUUCCCUCCAGGUCUGUUUCCGUUUAUCCCAUUGUAUGUUUCAAAGUAAUUCACCUUGUCAUCAUAAGAGGGAAACAUUCCGUACGAAAAAAAUAGAAUAUUUAAAGUCACUUUUUUGCAACCUUCAAUAAGAUAAUUACCUAUGUAAUAUCUACAUCAAAACUUACAUGAAUAUAUUGAUAAGGAAUUUUGUAAUGGUUGUGUCAGGCUGACAACACCUGGGUCCAUUGAUAAUUUCAGUAAACAUCAAUUUCAAAAAGCCAGUUCAAAUGGAUAAUCAGAUAUUACGUAGAUCCUGAUGUAAUACAACAAGGAACACAUAGCAGCAGCCAUGAAGUGUCUUUCCUCCACAAACACCUCCCAAAUAUACUACUCUGAAUGAACUCAAAACUCUAACUCUGUCUACUAGUUUACAAGAAACCUAGAGGAUGGAGACAGGUCAAUGACAAUAUAGUGAAGAAUAAGUGAAAUUCAACUUGAAAAAGGACCUAACUCAUUCAACAAAAAAGGGUCAAUUGUUAAAGGUUAAAUAAAAUUUAAGAAAUGUAUAAAUCAAAUCAAA